rnacentral:lncRNA from 1 species
UGCCCUAGGAUUGAUAGAUAAAAGCGAGAGCUUCAUUAUCAUCCUGAAAACAUUCUAACUGAGCUAAGUUUCUUGCUUUGAGUAAGGCGAGAGGUGAUCUAGUGAGCUUAGUAAGCUAUCAUUCAACCCGAACAUAAAGUUUAACUAGAACCACGUCGAUCGAUAUCAUUAUUGAAUAAUCGAUCGACAGAGUGAAAGGUGAAUCGAUCGAUAUCCUUAUAGGAUCAUCGAUCGACACUUUCUAAUUGAUUGACAUAGGAUAGUUGAGAUCAUUAGAUCUAGUUAAUAGACAAGUCCAAACAUGCAAAAGCUUAUAGACUUGUUGACUAAGUAGUUGAGAUUUACAUUAUCAUGCAUGCAACCCAUUAGGCAUCUGUAGGAUUAUGAUCCCAAGUUUCCUGAAUAAAAACCCUAAGUCUAGCUAUUUUCUUUUAAGCACCAUAACCUCAACCAAUCAAUUGAGCAAACACUUGCUUGAUAAAAACUGCAAUUUACAUUUAAACCAUUAAAACAUCCCGCUUAACAAAUCAUAUUAGCUUUCAUAGGUUCCCUAGCUCCCUGUGAA